ensembl:piRNA 21ur-275 ncRNA
UGAUAUAUAAUUAAAGAACAU